UGAGGUUGGUGAAAGUGGAAGCAGCCUCGACCUUCAUUUCACGGAUGCAGAAAACACGGGGUGAAGGGUAAAACGACUCCCAGCAGUCAUCAGUGAACCACGUGGGUCAGGCGACUGGACAGGAAUUUUAAAAUCUAGACUCCCCAGGGGACUCGGGCACGACAGCACCCUUACCGGCUGGCGACUGCACGCACAGACGCAACCACUGCAGGCCUUUCAUCCGCGGUUGGCUGACGCUGGAUGUGGAACCCACGGAUUCCGAGGGCCGACUGCACAGCAAAAAGACAGAGACGAAAUAUACAAAUAUGUUAACAGUGAUUGUCUCUCUGGUGGGAUUAUGGUACUACUUUAUGGCAAGAUCUUUUGGGAGAGCCAGUCCCUGGCUUAAUUAUACAAGUGACACG